rnacentral:sRNA from 1 species
UUUCGCUUUAUAUAGAUACAACUUUUUUUAGGAUUCGUCAAGGAUAUCUAUACAAAUCUACCCAACCAUGUAACAUCUAUUUUUGAAACGUCAAACGAUAUCUGGUUAGGCGACUUAACGGAACUAAACUUGGAAAGUCUGUUACCCGAAGCCUAUUCUGUCAAAACUAUACAUGUCGAAAAACAGCUUGAUUCCAAUUCCCAACAGCCUACUUAUACCCUACUGCCUCGAGGAAUAUUAUCCCUAAAAGUUUUACAAGAGCUUCCAAUUAUUGUAGUAUUGAUGUACCAAAUAUAUAAGAAUGCAGUCCAUCAAGAGGUUUCUGAAUUUAUACCUUUAAUAUUGACCACCAUUAAUUUACAACCAACAGUCAUACAACG